GCUGGGAUUACAGGUGUGAGCCACUGCACUCAGCCAGUAGUAUUCCCUUUUUUAAAAAUGGACAAGUAGAAGCCUGGAGCAACUAACUGAGGUGACCAGGACACAGUGAAGGAGUGGGGAGAAGUGUCUGUCCGGUUUGACGUCUGAGGACCCCUCCAGUACCUACAGCCCCUCCUUGGGAAUCGCGGUGCCCGCAGCGCCGAGCAGCCGUCAUGAAUGAGCGGCGCCCGGAGCAUAGACAGCCAGGCCUCUGCUGGGACUUCACCUCCAGGAGUGCACGGGCUCUACUCGCUCUCCCUAAUGAGAGCAGUUGUGGAGAAGGGCGCUAAGCAGGUCUGCAGCCUGUAGCCUCCCACUCCAGCGCCCCGAGGAAGUUUCUCUCCCGGGAGCCAGCCCAGCCGGCCGGUUUGGUUCUGGUGGACAAGUCUGAGCUGGACAAACAGCGUAGGAAGCGCCAGAUCCUGCUCUGCACAGAGCGAUCCUGAGCUCUUUAACCUGUCCCGCCCAAGAGAAUAAAAAUCCCCAGCAAACUGGCCUGAUAGCCUCACAUUGUCAGAAACCCGCUGGAGAGGCUUGGGUUCUUGGCUUGGAUGUUUGAAAUUCCGUAAGCGGAGCAGUCGUAGAAGCACCUUCCCGUGCACUUCUCCGGCAAUGAUUUUGCUGGCCUCUGAUUUUCACCAGCUCCCACGGUCUGCUAAGCGAGGAGCCUGACCAGUGGAGAGAGAUCUGGCCACUCAUCCCUCCUCUCUAGGCCUCAGUUUUUGAGCUUGUAAAAUGAAGUGUUUCGAUUCAGUGAGCCUGUGGUUUUGAUUCUGAAUUUGUCAUGGGUAAAAUAAACAUGGUAGACAGCAUUCCU